rnacentral:rRNA from 1 species
UAAUACGGAGGAUCCAAGCGUUAUCCGGAUUUAUUGGGUUUAAAGGGUGCGUAGGUGGAUUAAUAAGUCAGUGGUGAAAGCCUGCAGCUUAACUGUAGAACUGCCAUUGAUACUGUUAGUCUUGAAUGUAGUUGAGGUGGGCGGAAUAUGACAUGUAGCGGUGAAAUGCUUAGAUAUGUCAUAGAACACCGAUUGCGAAGGCAGCUCACUAAGCUAUAAUUGACACUGAGGCACGAAAGCGUGGGGAGCAAACAGGAUUAGAUACCCUGGUAGUCCACGCCCUAAACUAUGAUUACUCGAUGUUGGCGAUACACUGUCAGCGUCUAAGCGAAAGCGUUAAGUAAUCCACCUGGGGAGUACGCCCGCAAGGGUGAAACUCAAAGGAAUUGACGGGGGCCCGCACAAGCGGAGGAGCAUGUGGUUUAAUUCGAUGAUACGCGAGGAACCUUACCUGGGCUUGAAAGUUAGUGAAUAUCUGUGAAAGCAGAUA